CCUACGGGGGGCAGCAGUGGGGAAUUUUGGACAAUGGGGCAACCCUGAUCCAGCCAUGCCGCGUGCGGGAAGAAGGCCUUCGGGUUGUAAACCGCUUUUGUCAGGAGAGAAAUCUCUUGGGCUAAUACCCUGAGAGGAUGACGGUACCUGAAGAAUAAGCACCGGCUAACUACGUGCCAGCAGCCGCGGUAAUACGUAGGGUGCAAGCGGUGAGCGGAAUUACUGGGCGUAAAGCGGGCAGACAGGGGUGAAAUCCCCGGGCUUAACCUGGGAACUGCACUUGUGACUGCACGGCUGGAGUACGGCAGAGGUGGAUGGAAUUCCGCGUGUAGCAGUGAAAUGCGUAGAUAUGCGGAGGAACACCGAUGGCGAAGGCAGUCCCCUGGGCCUGUACUGACGCUCAUGCACGAAAGCGUGGGGAGCAAACAGGAUUAGAUACCCCGGUAGUC
rnacentral:rRNA from 1 species